rnacentral:rRNA from 1 species
UACGUAGGGUGCGAGCGUUGUCCGGAAUUAUUGGGCGUAAAGAGCUCGUAGGCGGUCUGUCGCGUCGAAUGUGAAAAAUCCGAGGCUCAACCUCGGACCUGCAUUCGAUACGGGCAGACUAGAGUUCGGUAGGGGAGUCUGGAAUUCCUGGUGUAGCGGUGAAAUGCGCAGAUAUCAGGAGGAACACCGGUGGCGAAGGCGGGACUCUGGGCCGAUACUGACGCUGAGGAGCGAAAGCGUGGGGAGCAAACAGG